GGGCCUUUAUACGGGUGUUAUUAGGACUCCUAAUCAUGAUCUAAUAUGUUUUAAGCUUUAUAAAAGGCAUGUUUGGGGAAUAGAAGACUGUGUGGUUCAGUUGGUGGUCUCUUGGGUACAGACCCCUUCGCACAAAAACCAAAGAGAGAAUCCUGUGAAGAGAGAGAGCACGCGGUGCUAUGAGGAGAAGGAGCAGAAGGCUCUU
rnacentral:lncRNA from 1 species